GCUUCCGUAGUACAGAGGUUAGUAUGUGGGCUUGUCAACAGAUGUUGCUUCGCCCGGGACCCGGGCUCGAAUCCCGGCGGGAGCG